AUUUGUGGCCUUAUAAGAAGAAGCAGAGAGAAAUUCUCUCCCCACAGCAUAAUGACACAGCCAGAAAAUGGCCAUCUGUGAACUAGGAAGAGAAAGAAUCCUCACUAGAGCUUAACCCUGCUAGCACUGUGAUCUCAAAUUUCCAGCCUCCAUAAUUCUGAAACAUCUGUGCCUGAGCCAUCACCAUACUGCAUUCAGAGAGUAAUCAAAACUAGUUCCAGUGCAUUGAAGAAAGGAUUUCUGAAUCAAUGGAAAUUAAGAAUGGCUGCUAUGUCACAGAGAGAGAGAGAGAGAGAGAGGCAGAGACACAGGCAGAGGGAGAAGCAGGCUCCAUG